ensembl:lncRNA
AUCCAUUUUCCCCCCACACACUCAUUUCCUUGAUUCAAAUUGUGUAAGUAAUUGCGCUUGGAAUACUGUAAGUGAAUGAAAGGGGGUAUAAUGAUGCUAUGCUAUCAAGAAAUCCUUCUGGUUUGGGUUUUUUUUUUUUUUCCCUGUCAGGACUGCUGAGGGAAGUGAGACACAGCCCAGAGCUGUGUCUGAGCAAGCAGGAAAGGAGAGAGGCAGGCGAGUCCUGCAGCUCUGGACCUCCUCCAGCUGUGAGGUGCUCCUUGCUGGCCCAGCCCAGCAGCACUGGCUGUAGGGAACAUUCCACAGCCCUGCCUGCAUCCUGGGAAGGAGCUGCCCUUCCGCUGGCUACCCCACACCAGGGACAGAAGGAGCAAGCACCCCGGACCAGUCGCGGCGCUGUUGGCCGAGCGCGGAGCGGAGCGGAGCGGAGCGGAGCGGGGCGGACGGAGCGGGGCACAGCGGGGCGGAGCGAGGCUCCCGGGGCCGGAGCGGGGCGGAGCGGGGCUCCCCGGCCCUCUCCUACCCUUCUUUCCCCUUCCCUCCCCUCCCUUUCCCGGCACAGCCCCACACCAGCCCGGGGAGCGGGGCCGCCAGCCCGUCCUGCCCAGCCCUGCCCAACCCAGCCCAGCCCAGGUGAGCGGGGUCUCUGCCGUGGGGAUUCAGCGAGCAUCCUUUGGGAGGUUGGCUCCUCACCCCCUCGGGGAGCCCCCGGGAGGUGUCUGCUGCCCCGUUCUGCUCCUCCAGGGCGCUGCAUUUAUUUCGCUUCGGAGAUGAGGGCCAGUUUCUCUCGUUUUGUUUUGCUUGCUUGUUUGUUUCGUUUUUUAACACUUUUGCCUUUCUGUUGCGCUUUGGAGUUGGGGAUGUGGCAUUGUUACUCGGGGAAUGGCGUGUUUCAGAAAUGACGAGCGAGACAAAGAGUGCUGAACGAGAGCUUUCAGCCAGUCGGAAGAGAAAGGACUGGUUGCUCAGAGGGGCUCUGCAGAACUCGGAGCCUCGUUAGAGACUCUGUGGCUGUACGUGAGCUGCCCGCUCUUACAGUCAGCGCUUCUGCUCAGGAAAAUGGGGAAAGCGAAAACAUCGGGGAAGCAACCCUUUCUGCGUGUUCCCUUGGCGUGCUGGAUGUGUGUGCGUGUCACUUCUUGCUCUUGUAAAGAAGCCUCUGAGGCUGAUUUUUGGAUCUGCUCUUCUGAACUUGGCUUUCAAGGAGGGGAUGUGGAGCUCUUUUCUGGUGUUGUUUUUGCUGGCACUGUCGAGCUACCUCUGAGAAAUGUUUGCAAAACCUUUUGUGGCACAAGACGUGAUUUCUUAGAGAGUCUCAGAAAACUUUCAGGCUGCUUUGACAUGACUCCCCUAGUCGUAUUUUUUGUGAGGUUGAAAGGGCUUUUUUAACUGCUGUUCUUAACCUUUACUUUCUGACUAUUAUCUUAUGUUUGGCAAACAUAAUUUCUUUCCUUCUGUUGAUUAUUAAUAAUGUAAGAUAGCAAGGCCUGUGAACGUAGCUGCAGAGGGCCUGGGCUUUCACAAAUACAUCUUAGUAUCGCCUUAAAUCUAAAGAGGCUUAACUAACAUAUAGAAAAAAAAAGUGUUAAAAAAAGCCACAAUUCAUAUGAAGGCUUUGGGUAUUU